rnacentral:lncRNA from 1 species
UUUUUUUUUUUUUUUUUUUUUUUUUUUGUGACAGUGUCUCACUCAGUGUGUUCUAGAGACUUACUAUGUAGCCAGGCUGGCCUUGAACUCCAGGCAAUCUUUCUGCCUCAGCCUCUUGAGUUCUGGGAAUUACAAUCUUGAGUCAAAAGCCAGUUUAUAAAUGGGUUGUUAUUUGGAAACAUUUUUUGCUACUUAACAGUCUGAGAACCCUGACUGUGCUUUCCUUGUGGAGAGUUAGUUAUAAUUAGAGAGGGCCCUAGAAUUCAUUCUGCUAAAACUUACUUUUCUAAAGAGGGAAACUUCUAGUGUCUUUUGGUUUGUGGCUUGUUUGGUUUGGCUUAGUUUGGUUUGGUUAGGCCCUGAACCCCUAAUGCACUUUAGUGCUGUUGCCUUCUGAAUAUUAGGGUAACAGAUGCGUGCUAGGGUCCCUGGCAAGAAAAGUCUUAAAAGAUUGAGCCUCAGGCAGAAAAAUGGGUCAGUGGGUGAGACACUUGCCAGGCAGCCUGGCUGGUUAAGUGCUAUCCCUAGAAUCCAUGCCGGAAGGAGAGAACUGCUCAAAGUUGUUCUCUAAUGGUUUAGAGGCACAACGAAGUUCACUGGUCCCAAAGCACACACACAAUAAUAAACACAUCUUUAAGACCGAGUCUAGGAUUUGGUAUUAUUGUGGCCUUUUUUUUCAAUCAGUAGGUUCUUUAGGUGAGAAACAUUUUUGAAAGGUGUGUGUGUGUGUGUAGACAUGCUUGCAAGGUGCUUCGUGGAGGUCAGAGAACAACUUAUGGGAGUUGCUUUUCUCUCUCUUAUGAAGUGGGUCCUGGGAACUGAACUCUUGUCUGGCCUUCUAGGCAAGCUGAGCUGUCUGCUGGCCCAGAUUCUGGUCUUGUUUUUUCUAAGAGACCGAGUCUCAUGUAGCCUGGGCUGGCCUGGAACUUGGUUAUGUAGUUGGCAUGCACCCCCACCCAUUUUCCCCAGUGCUAGUAUUUGCACCCAGGGCUUCCAGCAUUCCCAGGACCUCUCACUGGGACCUAGGGAUUGCCACUUUGGCUAGAUUGUCUGUCUAGUGAGCUUUAGGGACCUUUUUUCCCCCUUGCCUCCAUGCCUAGCAUUAAACAACAGAAGAAACUUGUAUUUUUAUGUAUGUAUCUUGCCUGCACGAAUGUCUGUAUACCAUAUGUGUGCAGCCCUCUCAGGCUAGAAGAGGGCUUUGCCUCCCCUGAAACUGUAGUUAACAGGUGGUUGUGGGCUGCUAUGUGGGUACUGGGAACCAAACCUGGUCCUCUGCAAGAGUAGCCAGUGCUCUUAACCCCUGAGCCAUCCCAUCAGCUCCCAAGCUCAGCUUUCUUUGUGGGUCCUGGGGAGUGAACCCUGGGUCAGCUGACUGAACUGUUUCCCUAGCUCCUAUAAGUAACAUCUUAAGUAGCUGCCUCUGGUUAACCUUUGCCUAAGCAAUACAACAGCUGAAAUAGCUGUUCCUAAUAAAAGACGCCACUUGUUAUUGUUCUGGGGAUGCUAAGUAUGUGGAUCUUGCUUUUUGCCAUUCUUGUCUUGAAACAUGUAAACUUAGCCUUAUACAGCAUUCUCUCAUGCUAUAAAUCUCAGCCUUUACAUUUUCUCUUUCUCUCUUUUUCUUUUUUGAGACAGGGUCUCACCAUAUGUCCUGGACUUGCCUGGUACUCACUAUGUAGGUAGACCAGGCUAGCCUUGAAAUCACAAGAGAUCCUUCUGAGUGCUGGGAUUAAAAGUGUGCAUUUCUAUGCCUGAUAUGUAAAUCUUAGCUUUAUAUAUAAAGCUUUAUAUAAAAUGUUUUCUCCUUUUAUCAUGUGAGUUCAGGUUCUAGGGCUGGAACUCUGGUUGUUAGGCAUGGUACCUUUACCUGCUGAGCCACCUCAUGGACCUCUGUUUGUCUGUCCACCCAUCUAUUUAUCUAUAGAUAGAUUAAAAAAUAAUUUUAAAAUGUUUGUGUGUGCAUAUACAAGUGUGCUCAAGUGUUCUCUUACUAUGUAGUUCCCAGGGAUCAAACUUAGGUUAUCAGGCCUGGUGGACAGUGCCGUUCUCUGCUGAGUCAAUUUCACUGGUCC